AGCAAGCCGCCGCGCCGCCAGUGUCCCCGCCCAGCUGGUGCUGAUGAGGCGCACAGGUGAACCUCCGCGCUGACCUGCUCCUGCCACCGCCGCCGCCGCCGCCUUCUUCGCGCUGAUUAGCCGCUCGCGACCUUUUCGCGCAUGAAAUGAUCCUGCAGACAGUGGAAGAUGUGGAAGUUACUGAGAAACAAGAUGAAUCAACUGGGCAGAGGUAAUGUUCUGGAAACUGACUAAAGGAAAAAAGAUAUUGCAUCAUCUGGGAUGUGCAUCAUCAUUAGUUUUGCCUCCUGGACCUAUUAUGAACACCCAGCUGCAUAAAGAUGUUGCGCCUCAAGUAAUGCAAGUUUCUUGGCAGCAUUUUGUUUUCAAACACCAUUUUGCUUGAAAAAAACCAACUACGAUACCUUCCCUAUGGUAGAAGAUAUGGUUUACAGUUCAGAUUAUUAAGGAAAACCAAGAGGUCAAAUCAGGAUGGUCUUUUGGAGUACAAAUAGUGUACACAAAGUACUACCAGGGUUGUUGAUGAUCCAGAACUUUUGGUUUAAAGCCAGAUUUUUAAAAUAAUCAUCACUUCUCAAACUCUUGGAUGGAUUAUUGAGUCAUCCUACAAACCUUUUAGUCCCUGAGCUUUUCCGCUCUACUGGCAGACUGCUGUGUGGAUAAUUCUUAUUAUUUGUUCUGCAGAGAAACAGACUUGACUUUUGAGAUAUGAAUAUGUAUGGUGAAAGGAUAGCAUGACAGUAAUGCACAACUCCUUGAAAUAUUUUGCUCAAGACAGCAGAUGUUAAAAAAAACCAACCCUUUAACUUUCAAAUCAUUUGGUUUCUGUAGUGAAUAUAUUAAGGCUAUUUCCACAAUCACUGGGAAGCAGGUUAAGGGAGCUUGGUCCGCUUCCCAGUAAUCAUGGGAACCACUGGGCUCGCGAGCCCGGAGCUCCCAAGGUGAUCGGUGACACAUGAGUAGACCCCCAACCGGGAGGCUACAGCCAGCCUCCCAGGCUCGGGGGUCUCUCCAGGAUGCCCCACACACUCACACGGGGCAUCCUGGGACUUUUGGGGGCUGCUUGGCCCCCAAUCCUUGCAGUCCCCACUGGCUCUGUGACGGAGCUGGCAGUUGUGUGGGCAGCUGAUCUGGCUGCCCAGGGGGGCUGCACUUUGGUCGUCUGUGAGGAGAGUGGGCUAAGACUGCUUUCCUCACAAACCCAACAGAAGCUCUUCUCAUGGAUCGUGAGAAGAGCUUCAAUGUGUACUACAUUCUAAUGCAUUUUGAGUGGUUUUUCAAGAGAACUUGAAUACUUUGAGAACUAUUAUUAAUGCAAUAAUAAUUGAAAUUACCACACUCAUUGCUGCAUUUUUAUUUGACAUUCUUAAAAUAUGUUAUAGAUGUUAAGAUAAUGAAGCUUUACAUAAAGCUUUGAGAUAUUAUUAACUACAUUUGUAAUAAUGGAUAAGCUAGGUCACGUGGAGAGCUAGAGAGGCCAUCAGUGCAACAAAGGUUCUUAUCUUGGGACACUCUAGGCUUCACUGGUGUUGCUGACCAUGCAGAUGGCACCCACACAUGUGUGGAUACCAUGUGCAUGCUGAUGGUGCACUGGGCUUUUUGGGACAUGCGCUACCCCAGAAGGAAGCAGGGAAGGGCAGUUCAGAGCAGGUAAGUACCUGCUCUCCAUUUUCUUAAAGUGCCCUUUUUAAUUUCCCUCAAAGUCAACUGUACUUCGAACUGAAGUUUGAGCACAUCCCUAGUUCAAGGUCUGUCUCAGUGCCUUGUAGGGUCCCUGAUUCUUUUCAGGGCUUUGAGGAGAUUCCCACUUCACUCCAGCCCUUCUUUCCAUCUGUUCCUAAUAUCCAUACACUUCCAGAAGGUGCUUAAGUAAAUAAGCAGAACCCUCUAAGAUAGUGAGCCAGACUUUAGCUGGCCCUGAUGGGAUUCGUAUUGCAGAUAGCAAAGAGCCAGCGUGGUAUACUGGUUAGAGUGCUGGACUUGGAGCGGGGAGACUCGAGUUCAAAUCCCCAUUCAGCAUUGAAACUAGCUGGGUGACUCUGGGCCAGUCACUUCUCUCUCAGCCUAACCUACUUCACAGGGUUGUUGUGAAAGAGAAACUCAAGUAUGUAGUACACUGCUCUGGGCUCCUUGGAGGAAGAGUGGGAUAUAAAUGUAAAUAAAUAAUAAUAAUAAUAAUAAUAAAUUAAUAAUUGUCAUAUGGCAAUGGCAGAACCUUUAGGAAGUGGAGUCAGUGGGUUGGUUUCAGUUUCAGUCACCUAUGAUAUCACAUAUCCCACCUACCUCCACAAAUGAAUCCCACUGGUGAAGAGAAACCGCCCCCCACCCUUGUCAUCGGAAUGCCAAAGAACAGAGGAGGAUUCCAGCUCUUGUUUCCCCUCAUUAGAAAGGCAUCAUGUGUCAACGGUGCAAACUGCAGAACUAAUGCUUCAUGUUAUAAACAAAGGGUUGUUUUUGCCCCAAUGUAAAGAAUACUUCCAGGUGCUUCUAUGUUCACACAGUUUCUCCAUACAUGCAGAUUUUCUCAUUCACUUCCACACAGGGAAGAUACUUUGAGAACACAAAAGGAUAUAGGUGCAAGAUUUUGAACCAUUCGGCUCUAGGGCAUCUUAGGAUAGUGGACUGAAGGCUGCUGGUGAGGUUAAAAAGCAGCUUUAGAAGUCAUAAGGAUUCAUUUUUAUCAGCUUGAUAAGUUUGUGCAUUUCUGCAAAACAUGAAAAAUAAAAGAUAUACCAAAAAAGGGUGACAGAGAAUCGGUGAGUGACUCUUUCUUCGUGUGUGUGCUCGCGAGCGUGUACGCAUGUGUUUCCUAGGUAACCUGGACAGUGGAAACUUGGAUGUCUCCCUACUGUGAGACGCUUGAGCUCUACACACAUUUGAAACUCACACAUUUCACUACAGGACUGAUAGGCAAGACCGGCUUUGCACAUUAAAUAGCCAACACAAGUCACCUCACUGCUGCUGCUGGUUCAGAGCCCAAAGUUGCCCAUAUAUCCCCCCCUCUUCAAAUCUGAUCCAAAGCAUCCAUAUUAGGUUGCUUUCUUGUGAAUCUGUUUCUUGUUAUAUGAUUAUUCAAGAGUACACAAUGUAUUCUAGGUUAUGGUGAGCAAUUAGAAAGAAAAAAGAGUUCUCUAGAGAAAGCCCCAAGGCUUCAACUGUAAUAUUAUCUUCUAGUUGCAACAUGUGUCCAGCAGUGGUUUCCAUGGAUGCAAACACAAGAAAACAUUGUGCCCAGAUAAGAUGGAGAAUUGAGGUCAAAAGAUCAGCAAGGAGGAUCUAUAUCUGUACCAUCAGGCUUCCACGUACAGAUAUGAAGAAUGGCUGCAGAAACAACAGUCCUUCAUGACGAAGCAUAUGCGAAAACAGCUGAUAUCUAGACAGCUUUUCAAGGACUAUUUGAUUACACCCUGGAAUAUUUGAAUAUGCCUAUCCAAGUUUACUUGUUAAAACCUUGGAAUAUGGAGUAAAGCUUACUAUUUUCUAUAUAUGGGAGACCCAUGAAGAUUUUUACAAGACCAUUAUCCUGGUUGGAGUGAAUUACUGUUCAAUUUUAUUACAGUCAUUGACCAGAAAAGAGAACAUUAAAAAUACAAAUAACAAUGUCAAUAUAACAGAUAUAAAUAAAAUAAAGGAAUAAGAUUAUAAUUAACAAUGGUAAAAUAUCCAACUAAGGAGUAUUAAUAACCUCCAAAUGUAUCCUACCCACAAUGUAACAAAAUUUGGCAACCUUCCACAAUCUGGAGGUCUUAGAGGACAGCACUCUGGUGGUCUAUGCAUAUCUGUUAAUACUUCUCUUAAGGUCUCUAUAUUCCCAUUAUCUAGCUGUGAGCACUUUGCAAUGGCCCUGAAACUUGUCUCUGACUCUAUAUCGUUAUUGGUUAUUAAUGUGUACAUCCCUCCAGACGCCCAAGUGAAUUACUGAAGAAAUUUAAUCCUUUGGGUCCAUGCAGAAGUUCAGCUUCUCCUUUUACAUUAUUGCAUUUCCAAGAGUUUAUUUCUAUCUAUUUAUGGCAUUUUUGCGAUGGGCUUCACUGUUUUCAAUCCUCCUCUAGUAUUGGAUGGAUUUUUCUACCUGAUUAUGGACUUUUACUCUUUGGAUACUGGAAUAUUCAUCAGCACUUAUGUAUAGCUUUAGUAUAGUUUUUUUAUUAUAAUUGCUUAUAUUCUCAUAUAUUUUUGUUUAUGGUUAUCUAUCUUGUAAUUAUAUUGAUUGCAUUGAUAUUCUAUAUUGUAACAUAUGAAUUGUGACUUAGAAUCUAUACAAAUUUUUGAGCAUGUUUAAUAUGUUUCAUUAGUUUUUCACUGCAUCAGCAGGAGAAAAUAAUAAAAAGACUGAAACCACAGUUAUAUAUGUCACUGUUUGAAAGUAGAUAAGUGGAGAGGACCUUGAUAA